rnacentral:sRNA from 1 species
UACUGGGCUUGCCGCAGUAAAACCGAGGGCCAGGAAGACCCUGUAGAACCCUAAUCUCUGUGCUGGUACCCACAGGGCUUAAAGACAAACCUUAGCACCAAAAGAGGACCUCAAGACAGACGUGGCUGUGACUGACAUGAGAGACAGGACAGUCUCCUUGAUGACAUUGGGAAGCUAGAUGUCCACAUGCCAAAGGAUUCAAUUAGAUCCUUCUUCCUCACCAUGCAUUCAACUCAAAAUGGGUUUAAAAAAUGUAAUGUAAGAUUGAAGUAUGAAACCACUAGAUGAAUAUAUAGAGGAAACUCCAUGAUGUUAGUCUAGGGGGUGGUUUGGGUUAUAUUUACAAAGCAGAGGCAACAACAACAAAUGGAUGGACGGAAUGAUAUUGAAUGUAUUCUGGCAGAUAAUUAAGACAGUAGAUACAAAUAUGAAUAGAUAGUUCAGGAACGAAUGCAUAUAAAUGGCCAGCAGGUGUAGGAAAAAUGCUUCACCCUGCUAAUUACCAGAGAAAUGUAGAUAAAAGCACAUCGAGUUACUACCCAACUCUUGUUAGAAUGGCUGCUUUAAAAAAAAAGUUUUAUUUAUUUUAUUUAUUUUUUGAAUGGCUGCUUUCAAUACGACAAAAUAAAAUAAAUGUUGCUGAGGCUGUAGAGAUAGGAGGCCCUGGUCCACCCUUGGUAGGAAUGCAAACUAGUACGGCCAGUGUAGAAAGCAGUAAGGAUGCUUCCACACCUGACUACUAGACCCACCGCAUGCCUCAGUGACCCCACUGACAACUCUGUGUCCAAAGAAAAUGAAUCGGCGUGUUGAGGAGGAAUCUCUACGUGCAUAUUUAUAACAGUACUAUCUGUAAAAAAACCAAGAUGUGAAAUCUAUGUACGUGUCCUUCAGCUGAUGACUAGAGGAAGAAACUGUGGAACACAGAAACCAUGAUAGGCACACGGACAUGAAAAAGAAGGGACUCUGCCAGUUACAACAGGAUGGAUGAAACAGAAGGACACUCGCGUAAGAGAGCCAUGCGCCGAAAGGGAAGCUUCACAUGCUGUACAUAGGCAACGUCUAAGUUUGUCCCACCAUGAGGAAAACAGAUGAACGAGGUCAUCCCUUCUUUUGAAGGAGACAGGGAAACUCACUGGUGCCAUCGGAACUCUGAAAACGCCAAGAAUUCUGAGAAUGAAGAAAACCCAACGUGAUACCCACCCUA